rnacentral:rRNA from 1 species
UGGAGAAUCCCGUGAACCAUCAAGUUUCUGAACGCAAGUUGCGCCUGAAGCCAUUAAGCCGAUAGUGAGCUGCCUGGGCGUCACACGCCGUUGCCCCCCCCCGGCACCUCCCUUGGAAGCGUCGGUGAGCGGACGAUGGCUUUCAGUAUGUCACCACACGUGGUUGGCACAAAUGUUUAGUCCCCGGCGACGAAGCCAUGACAAUCGUUGGUUGUCAAACCUCGGUUGCUUGUUGUGCACUUUCACCGAGCUCUGGGCGGCUCACGAUGCUCCCUGCUUUACUUCGGCGGAGCCUUCAACGCGACCCCAGGUCAGGCAGGGUUACCCACUAAAUUUAA